GUGGGUGUAGCUCAGUGGUAGAGCAAGCAUGUGCUUAGCAUGUGAGAGGCCCUGGGUUCAAUCCCCAACACACACA
rfam:Heterocephalus glaber contig175837, whole genome shotgun sequence.